GCUAUGGCCAGUCUUGUGCCAGGCAGGGGGAAGGGCAGCAGCAGGGAAGAGACCAAAGUUCAAAGUUGGACUUGGGGACUGCAGGCCUAGCUCAGGGAAGGAUGGCCUUUGCCUUGAAGGUUCCCAGGGAAAGGAAAGGAUCCAGGAUCCAGUCCUGUAUUCCAUCCUAGAGACCUCCUAGAAGGUGUGCAAUGCAGAUGAGGGAUGGCUGUGUUUGGAGCCAGCUGAAACCUUCAAGAGCCUGCUCGCUCACUCACUCUCCUGUCAACAUGCUUCUUCCUCUCUGCAGCCACCCGUUAAAGACUUCCAGUGGCUACACUGUGUACUGGAGACACCUAACCCCAGGGGUGAGCUUCAAAGGUCUCUUUUCCAUGUUCCUUGCCUGGGGACUUCAUGUGACAUGUAGCGGUGCCCACACUGCCACAUACAGGGCACUGGCACAUGGCCACGCCUCCACAGCGGCCACACCUUGGGGCCCCACAGUGCUAAGAGAAUUGAAGUUGAGAGGACAGGGGAACGGAAGGGAUGGAGCACAAACGUGGUUCUGCUCCUUCCUGGAACUUGAACCCUUAUUUGAACUUAGCACAGUCAAAGAUCAUGAGGUGAAUGAAUAAGCAGCAGGUGAGCAAAGGUGGAGGGAGCAGGUGGCCCUGGGACGUGAGGUGGGUGCUAGAGACACGGGGAAGGGAGAUGUUUCCUGUCCUGGGAGCUCACUCGAGCCGAAGACAUAGGCAGACGUCAUAAAG